ACCGUGUACUUUUCAGUAAGAUUAGUAGGCAAAUACAACGAUACAACGUGUAAGAUAUAUAUUUGGCGUUUAUCAAAUAUAUCAUGAAUUUUAUGUUGCUUUUAAUUUUAUUAUGCACUGUGUAUAUCAAGUCCUCAAUUGAAAUCUCGAAUACCACAAAAAAUGUAGUAUGUUACUUUUUAUGUGGAUAUGGACUCCAUGUUGCACCACCGGAAUCACUUGAUGGGAAACUCUGCACUCAUUUGAACUACGCCUUUGUGAAAGUUGAUGGUGAUGGAAAUUUGACUCAUUGGAGAAAGUCACUAGAUAUUGAUAAAAGAAUGUUUGAAAAAAUAUUGUCCUUAAAGACGGCAAAUCCAAAGUUAAAAGUUUUAAUAAGUCUUGGGGAAAUUCCGCCCCAAACGUUUGCACAAGUCGCUGCAGAUCCUACAAAAAGGCAAAACCUUGUCACAAGUUCUGUAAAUUUUCUGAAGAAAUACGGUUUUGAUGGAGUAGAUGUUGACUGGGAACAUCCGAAUAUUGUUGAUAAAGAAAAUUUUAUAGAUCUUCUUAAAGAGCUACAAUUUGCGUUAAAGAAAGAAAAGUACUUACUUACUGUUGCUCUACAAUCUUAUCCGACCCCUGGUUAUAAUGCUACAGCAAUAUCAGAAAACGUCGAUAUGAUAAAUCUAAUGUGCUACGUCUUUUAUGGAGGAUGGAGUAAAUAUACAGGUCACAAUUCAGCACUUUUUAGUUCUUCCCUUGAAACUGAAGAUGAAAGAAACCGCCGAAAUACAGCUGCUUGUCUGCAAAACUGGUUAAGAGCUGGCGCUGUAAAAGACAAAAUUAAUGUUGGAAUGCCUUUUUAUGGGCGUAUACUUAAAAUAGCAGAUCCAAAUAACCACGGACUUCAUUCCCCUAUAACUGGGGUAGGAAAUCCCGAAACAGUAACUUACAGAUUUGCCUGAAUUAUACAAAUUACACUACAGUAUGGAGUGAUGAACAAAAAAUUUCUUACAAAUAUUUUAACAACCAAUGGAUGAGCUUUGAAAAUGAACAAUCAAUUAUGGAAAAGGUCAAAUACAUAAAAUCCCAAAA
rnacentral:misc_RNA from 1 species